CCCUAUAGGUUACAGCUGCUGGAAUGCUCUGUAACCGAAAGUUCCGGCGCCUUAGGAUGGAUCUGCGGCCGAUUAGGUUGUUGUCGGGGUAACGGCCCAACAAGCCAGUAAUCGGUACGGGUUGUGGGAGCAAGAGCCCGGAGUUGGAUUCUGAGACACGAAUCCAGGCCCUACGGGGCGCAGCAGGCGCGAAAACUUUACAAUGCGGGAAACCGUGAUAAGGGAACUCCGAGUGCCUGUUAAAUCGGGCUGUCCACCAGUUUAAAAAACUGGUGAAGAAAGGGCCGGGCAAGACCGGUGCCAGCCGCCGCGGUAAUACCGGCGGCUCGAGUGGUGGCCACUAUUACUGGGCUUAAAGCGUUCGUAGCUGGUUUGUUAAGUCUCUGGGGAAAUCUUCCGGCUUAACCGGAAGGCGUCUCAGGGAUACUGGCAGACUAGGGACCGGAAGAGGUGAGGGGUACUCCAGGGGUAGGAGUGAAAUCCUGUAAUCCUUGGGGGACCACCUGUGGCGAAGGCGCCUCACCAGGACGGCUCCGACAGUGAGGGACGAAAGCUGGGGGAGCAAACCGGAUUAGAUACCCGGGUAGUCCCAGCCGUAAACGAUGUGCGUUAGGUGUAUCGGUGACCACGAGUCACCGAGGUGCCGAAGAGAAAUCGUGAAACGUACCGCCUGGGAAGUACGGUCGCAAGGCUGAAACU
rnacentral:rRNA from 1 species